GGGAAAGGGAGCCAGGGAGUCCUGUAAGUACUCAGGAUCCUGACAUGAGCUUUAAGUAGAGGGCAAGAGAUAGACACCACUGAGUAGUCCUGAUCAAAGUGUGGUGCCAGCCAUCAUUGUCUGUCUCUGCCCCAAUCUGUCCUGCAAGGUGGUCCGAGAGCUGUUGAAACUGUGGGAAUCUGAGAGACGAGCUCCUCUUCAUGCUGGCGCCAGACUUCAGCCCUUUCCUUCCCACAGCAUGAGAGGCUCCUGGAGAAAUUCCAAAAGUCUUGGGGUCCAUUGUCUCAAGAUUCUGAUAGUCAAAGGGGAGGGGCACUUUGUGUCUUUUUAGUUAGAAUAUUACCACAAUAAGCCACAAGAUGAAGCAGUUGCCCUUUCCCUGACCAUAGAAAGGACUCCCAUGUGCAGAAUAUUGUCUUUCAUCUAUAGUGGCCAUUGAGAAUACCACGCCUUAGAAGCCAGAGAUUGACUGAGUCUUCAAGCAGCUCAGCAAAAGCCCCAACAGUUGGACAUGAGCGAGGUUCUUAGAGAGUAUCCAAGACUUAGGCAAACUUCAACAUACCUCCUGCGGAAACAUGAUAAAUAAAGCGAAAGCUGACUGAGGACAAGAGACUAGAUUCCCCACCCCUGCCCUGCAAGCUUUGGUGGUAAUGAGGAUGCGACCCCAUGCAAGUGAGCCACCAGCUGAGAUGACCUCUCCCCAAACCAAGGAAAAUGGACAUUUAGACAAACGGCGUAUCUAGAACCCAAACAGACAUGAAAGGAAGAACUGCUCCGUGAUAUAGUACGUAGUUGAGAUGUGAAGAUACAAAGCAAAGGACACCCUACAAAAAGAUGUAAGGGGGGCAUGGCUGACAACCACACUCCAGUGGAUGGCCCCCUGAGGAUAUGGGCAACACAAACCGG
rnacentral:lncRNA from 1 species